rnacentral:rRNA from 1 species
AGUCGAGCGGUAGAGAGAAGCUUGCUUCUCUUGAGAGCGGCGGACGGGUGAGUAAUGCCUAGGAAUCUGCCUGGUAGUGGGGGAUAACGUUCGGAAACGGACGCUAAUACCGCAUACGUCCUACGGGAGAAAGCAGGGGACCUUCGGGCCUUGCGCUAUCAGAUGAGCCUAGGUCGGAUUAGCUAGUUGGUGGGGUAAUGGCUCACCAAGGCGACGAUCCGUAACUGGUCUGAGAGGAUGAUCAGUCACACUGGAACUGAGACACGGUCCAGACUCCUACGGGAGGCAGCAGUGGGGAAUAUUGGACAAUGGGCGAAAGCCUGAUCCAGCCAUGCCGCGUGUGUGAAGAAGGUCUUCGGAUUGUAAAGCACUUUAAGUUGGGAGGAAGGGUUGUAGAUUAAUACUCUGCAAUUUUGACGUUACCGACAGAAUAAGCACCGGCUAACUCUGUGCCAGCAGCCGCGGUAAUACAGAGGGUGCAAGCGUUAAUCGGAAUUACUGGGCGUAAAGCGCGCGUAGGUGGUUUGUUAAGUUGGAUGUGAAAUCCCCGGGCUCAACCUGGGAACUGCAUUCAAAACUGACUGACUAGAGUAUGGUAGAGGGUGGUGGAAUUUCCUGUGUAGCGGUGAAAUGCGUAGAUAUAGGAAGGAACACCAGUGGCGAAUGCGACCACCUGGACUAAUACUGACACUGAGGUGCGAAAGCGUGGGGGAGCAAAC